rnacentral:rRNA from 1 species
GAUGAACGCUGACAGAAUGCUUAACACAUCAGCAAUUGAUUGGUGGCGGACGGGUGAGUAACGCGUAAAGAACUUGCCUCACAGGUAGGGAAAACAUUUGGAAACGACUGCUAAUACCUAAUACUGUGAGAGAGCUUUGCGUCCCAUUAGCUAGUGGGAGAGGUAACGGCUCACCAAGGCGAUGAUGGGUAGCCGGCCUGAGAGGGUGAUCGGCCAACAGGGGACUGAGACGCGGCACUUACUCCUACGGGGGGCAGGAGGGGGGAAUAUUGGACAAUGGACCAAAGGCUGAUCCAGCAAUUCUGUGUGCACGAUGAAGUUUUAGGAAUGUAAAGUGCUUUCAGUUGGAAAGCGGUACCAACAGAAGAAGUGACGGCUAAAUACGUGCCAGCCGCCGCGGUAAUAC